UCCCGGUUUCCCGGGCAGUCCCAUCAGAGUGCCCAUAAAAUGGUUGCAACUGAUGGCAAGAGUUGCGCUCGUUAUUGGACUUAACCCAACAUCUCACGACACGAGCUGACGACAGCCAUGCAGCACCUGUGUACUUGUCUAAACCGAAGCCUAGAAGAUUGUAUUUCUACAACUGUCAGGUACAUGUCAAACCCAGGUAAGGUUCCUCGCGUAGUGUCGAAUUAAACCACAUGUUCCACCGCUUGUGCGGGCCCCCGUCAAUUCUUUUGAGUUUUAGUCUUGCGACCGUAUUCCCCAGGCGGAUCACUUAACGCGUUAGCUCCGAUACUGAUCCCGCAAAGCAGGACCAACAUCAAGUGAUCAUCGUUUACAGCGUGGACUAC
rnacentral:misc_RNA from 1 species